rnacentral:tRNA from 1 species
CAAGACGUAGCUAUAACCCCCAAAGCACUCAGCUUACACCUGAGAGAUAUCUGCUAAAACCAGGUCGUCUUGA